GCCCCAACGUUUAUAUCAUUUGAUGCCAGAAUAAGAAUAAUCACUAAUGUAGAGGGGAUUAAACAGAAAUUUAAGGUGAGCCAUAAGCCACUGCAUCAUCAAAAUUAAUAAUAAAACGAGGUCAUGUACACUACAAUAAACGUUAGAAUUACAAGUAAAAAUUUUAUAGCAACAUUAAUUUUUUUUAUCAUAUAUCUAGCAUACAGCUGCAUAGAUAGCAACAAUAUAAAUAAUUAGUGUUAAUGGUAUAUAAAAAAAUGUCAAUAAUUAUUAAUUUGUUGUUCAUUAUUGUCAAAGGUAAUAAUAAUUGUUAAUAUCAAUAACUU
rnacentral:misc_RNA from 1 species